rnacentral:rRNA from 1 species
UUACACAUGCAAUCGAACGAUGAACUGGCGCUUGCGUCGGGGAUUAGUGGCGAACGGGUGAGUAACACGUGAGUAACCUGCCCUUAACUCUGGGAUAAGCCUGGGAAACUGGGUCUAAUACUGGAUAUUGACUUUUCCUCGCAUGGGGUUUGGUUGAAAGAUUUUUUGGUUUUGGAUGGACUCGCGGCCUAUCAGCUUGUUGGUAUGGGUAAUGGCCUACCAAGGCGACGACGGGUAGCCGGCCUGAGAGGGUGACCGGCCACACUGGGACUGAGACACGGCCCAGACUCCUACGGGAGGCAGCAGUGGGGAAUAUUGCACAAUGGGCGAAAGCCUGAUGCAGCGACGCCGCGUGAGGGAUGACGGCCUUCGGGUUGUAAACCUCUUUCAGUAGGGAACAAGGCCACACGUUGUGUGGUUGAGGGUACUUGCAGAAGAAGCGCCGGCUAACUACGUGCCAGCAGCCGCGGUAAUACGUAGGGCGCAAGCGUUAUCCGGAAUUAUUGGGCGUAAAGAGCUCGUAGGCGGUUUGUCGCGUCUGCCGUGAAAGUCCGGGGCUCAACUCCGGAUCUGCGGUGGGUACGGGCAGACUAGAGUGAUGUAGGGGAGACUGGAAUUCCUGGUGUAGCGGUGAAAUGCGCAGAUAUCAGGAGGAACACCGAUGGCGAAGGCAGGUCUCUGGGCAUUAACUGACGCUGAGGAGCGAAAGCAUGGGGAGCGAACAGGAUUAGAUACCCUGGUAGUCCAUGCCGUAAACGUUGGGCACUAGGUGUGGGGGACAUUCCACGUUUUCCGCGCCGUAGCUAACGC